GCGGCCGCUUCGGACAUGUCGGGCCCGCGUGCAGGCUUCUACCGGCUGGAGCUCAACAAGACGGUGUGGGAGGUGCCGCAGCGGCUGCAGGGGCUGCGCCCGGUGGGCUCCGGCGCCUACGGCUCGGUCUGCUCAGCCUAUGACGCGCGGCUGCGCCAGAAGGUGGCGGUGAAGAAGCUGUCGCGACCCUUCCAGUCUCUGAUCCACGCGCGGAGAACUUACCGCGAGCUGCGGCUGCUCAAGCACCUGAAGCACGAGAACGUCAUCGGGCUGCUGGACGUGUUCACGCCGGCCACCUCCAUUGAGGACUUCAGCGAAGUGUACCUGGUGACCACCCUGAUGGGCGCGGACCUGAACAACAUCGUCAAGUGCCAGGCGCUGAGCGACGAGCACGUCCAGUUCCUGGUUUACCAGUUGCUGCGCGGGCUCAAGUACAUCCACUCUGCGGGGAUCAUCCACCGGGACCUGAAGCCCAGCAACGUGGCUGUGAACGAGGACUGCGAGCUUAGGAUCCUGGACUUUGGGCUAGCCCGCCAGGCUGAUGAGGAGAUGACUGGCUAUGUGGCCACUCGGUGGUACCGCGCACCUGAGAUCAUGCUCAACUGGAUGCACUACAACCAGACAGUGGACAUCUGGUCUGUGGGCUGCAUCAUGGCUGAGCUGCUCCAGGGAAAGGCCCUCUUUCCAGGAAAUGACUACAUCGACCAGCUGAAGCGAAUCAUGGAGGUGGUGGGCACACCCAGCCCUGAGGUUCUAGCAAAGAUAUCCUCAGAACACGGAGAAACAGGUGAACAGGGAAGACAUUCCUGGCACGAGGGACAGUGAGGGCACAAUCUCAGCGCUGACUAGCAGUGCUUUUGCCAAGGACAGUGGGGUGCUCCAGGCAUGGAGAGCCAGAGAGAGACACAGCGAGAGA